rnacentral:misc_RNA from 1 species
GAUGAAGAACGCAGCGAAAUGCGAUAAGUAAUGUGAAUUGCAGAAUUCAGUGAAUCAUCGAGUCUUUGAACGCACAUUGCGCCCCCUGGUAUUCCGGGGGGCAUGCCUGUCCGAGCGUCAUUGCUGCCCUCAAGCACGGCUUGUGUGUUGGGCCCCGUCCUCCGAUCCCGGGGGACGGGCCCGAAGGGCAGCGGCGGCACCGCGUCCGGUCCUCGAGCGUAUGGGGCUUUGUCACCCGCUCUGUAGGCCCGGCCGGCGCUUGCCGAUCAACCCAAAUUUUUAUCCAGGUUGACCUCGGAUCAGGUAGGGAUACCCGCUGAACUUAAGCAUAUCAAUAAGCGGAGGA